UACGUAGGGGGCAAGCGUUGUCCGGAUUUAUUGGGCGUAAAGAGCGUGUAGGCGGCCACACAGGUCUGCUGUGAAAACUCGAGGCUCAACCUCGAGCUGUCGGUGGAAACCGUGUGGCUAGAGUCCGGAAGAGGAGAGUGGAAUUCCCGGUGUAGCGGUGAAAUGCGCAGAUAUCGGGAAGAACACCCGUGGCGAAGGCGGCUCUCUGGGCCGAUACUGACGCUGAGGAGCGAAAGCAUGGGUAGCGAACAGG
rnacentral:rRNA from 1 species